rnacentral:rRNA from 1 species
CAUGCAAGUCGAGCGGCAGCGGGAAAGUAGCUUGCUACUUUUGCCGGCGAGCGGCGGACGGGUGAGUAAUGCCUGGGAAAUUGCCCAGUCGAGGGGGAUAACACUUGGAAACGACUGCUAAUACCCCAUACCCCCUACGGGGGAAAGCAGGGGACCUUCGGGCCUUGCGCGAUUGGAUAUGCCCAGGUGGGAUUAGCUAGUUGGUGAGGUAAUGGCUCACCAAGGCGACGAUCCCUAGCUGGUCUGAGAGGAUGAUCAGCCACACUGGAACUGAGACACGGUCCAGACUCCUACGGGAGGCAGCAGUGGGGAAUAUUGCACAAUGGGGGAAACCCUGGUGCAGCCAUGCCGCGUGUGUGAAGAAGGCCUUCGGGUUGUAAAGCACUUUCAGCCAGGAGGAAAGGUUGGCGCCUAAUACGUGUCAACUGUGACGUUACU